AUGGCCCACACGGAGUACACGACGUGCAAGUCCAUCGGCGGCAAGGCGCCCCAGAAGCAGCUGGUGCGGGAAAUCAUGCAGGACUACAAGACUGAGCUGCACUUCCAGAGCUCCAUCGUGUCGAUGUUGCAGGAGGCCGCCGAGGCGUACCUCAUCGGGCUCUUCGAGGAUACCAACCUCUGCGCCAUCCACGCCAAGCGCGUCACCAUCAUGCCCAAGGACAUCCAUCUCGCCCGCCACAUCCACGAGGAGGGCUUCGAAUGCUUCCUGCCCCCAUGGUUCCUUGUUGACCCCUAG
rnacentral:rRNA from 1 species